rnacentral:lncRNA from 15 species
CAGCAAUUCAAACGUGCAUCAUACCAGGUGAAAGCAGCAAAGAUUAGUGAGCUACAUUUAAUGUUUUUGUAGCAUUGCUGCAUUUCUUUCCCACAGUGAAUGUUCAUAAAUCACAAGGUGUCAGUCAUUUAAGCAGAUCAGUCUUACCUUGCAGAGCGACAGAGGCACGGAGGCGGUGUGGCGGUCUGCUGCGGGCGGUCUGCACACACUUGCUGGGGGACAGUGAUGUGAGGAGCCCCCCCCCGGUUGGAGGACUGGUUGUGGUUGCCUGGUUUUGGGGCACGUUGGAGCGGUCACGGCACAAAAGUUUCAAUCGGGCGAAUGACAUCAGCUUGAGUUGCUGUCGACACCUCAGCGGAGGUCUGCAAAGAGCCACAACCUUGAAGUACCUGUCAGCACCCAGAGAGAGAGAGAGAGAGAGAGAGAGAGAGAGAGAGAGAGAGAUGCUGCCUUCACGCACGCAGAUAAAACUUGCAAUGUUACCUACUACUACUAGAAGAAAAGAAAAAGAAAGCGCGUGUGAGGAAACUGCUGAUUUUUAUGGAUUGUCGACAUGUGAAGACUGCAGAGCACAGGUACCGGUGGAUGCUGCGGGUUCAGCAGUGCAGGAGGAAGAGCCAGAUGACGGGAGAGCUGGAGGCUUGGAGAAGAUUAUAUAAAGUGUUGGGAGAGUAAGGGGCUUGUGAGGCCUGCUGCUGCUGCUGUUGCUGCACGCUCUACACAAUCAUAUUAAACAUUCAAAUCUACAUUUUGAGUUAAGUUUAUGCGUUUAUUGAUAUGCAAAUGCAGUCCAAAUGUAAAAUAGAAAUGCUUUCUCUAUCAAAAACAGUGAAGAAAACUUCACCUUCUCCUUUUAGAUGAUGUUGGUCCUUGGAAGGCAACUCAUGUGGGAUGGUUUGCUGCUGGGGGUAAGCACUGAGGCACUGUGGGAGCCAGAAGUGGGAGUAAAGAGGGCGCUUUUGUAAGAGCUAACAGGUGUGGUAGAGGAACUGGCUGCUGGGCUGGUGACGAUCACCAUCCGGGCCUUCCUCCUGACCUUUCCGGUGUUACAGGUUUGGUUUAGUCUGGUUUUGAGGAUGAUGCAGAGCACAUCCGCAGAUACGCGACCUGAUGCUACCAGUGGAUGGGUGAGGUAGAAAUUGGAAGAUGGACUUUUGGGGCGGGUCAACAGGGAAAAGGGCAUCCUGAGAUGGGUGAUUAACUUCAGGUGACAGUGGAGUCAGUGGAGCUGGCGCAGGGGUCUCAGGUUGCACCACAGACGACACGACCUGCGACCAAUCAAUGGCUGCUGGGUUCAAACACUUUCUUCGUAUUGGAGAAGGAUUCAUAAACUGUCGACAGAUCUCUCUUAAGAUCCGAGAAAUCUUCCUUCAAGGGUCCAAAGAAACUCACAUCCAGAGGCUGCAGGAUGUGAGAGCUGUGCGGUGGCAGACACAGGAGGGUGACCCCCACCCAGUUCUCCUGUCAGUGAUGUCCCAUAUAGGGCAUUAGGGAUUCCUUCCUUCUUAUUGUGCCCCCGUGGAUUGCCCCCUUUGUAGAUAAGAAGUUUAAAAAUGACGUUACUACAUUAAAAAAAAAAAAAACUAAACUACUCAUUACCUACCUUUCUUUUGUUUUAGUUUCUUUUCCACAGUCUUUCUUUGUUAUUUCUUGUCAGCCAGCUCAAACACUAAAAGACAAAUACACAAAUACAUCUGUAGCUGACCCACACAACAACCAGUCAGACGUUAAUGUAACGUUAGUGCAUCAGGUUAAUAACUCUGACCUGGUUUAAGAACAGCAGAAAGACAGUUUAGUAGCUAUUAAGGUUAUAAUUUAAGAUGUAUAAUCUUAAAGUGUACUGUUGCCAUCUUUACUUUCUGUUUCUGUAUAAAACUGAAUCUUUUAUAGUAAAAUAUGUUCACAAACGCUGUUUUUAUAUGUAGAUUAUUGAAUAAAUUAACUGCUCGUUGCUUCCACCGGACAGCGCCAGUGUCCGAUUAACGGAGGACUGAAAGUGUCCCUCACUCUUUUUUAUUAUUGUUUAGUCUGAAAUGUCAGAUAAAAUAGUGAAAAAAGAAAUGGUGACUUAAAUAUUUCCCAAUUUACUGUCAUAUAUUACAAAGAAAAUCACAUUUGAGAAGCUGAAAAAAAAAUGAAUUAAUUGUUUAAAUCUUUACUAUUUUUUAUACUAGUUAUUUAUUGCUCUGUAGUUUUAUCUUCUAAAUUAGUAUUUUGUUUGUAUGUAUGUUUUAUUUCAAAGCAAAAAUAGCACUAAAGAGGGUUACGUUACAUCUGCAGUUGUGUAAUUUAAUAUCACCGAUUAUUGGAUUGAUUUUUUUUUUUUAGUCUUAAUUUAAACUGAAAAACAGUGUUAAAAAUUAAAAUAUAGUGAAAACAAAUGUCUUAAAAAAAAACAUAAAUUAAAAGUCAUAACAGAAACAGAUCCACCCUUUAGGUCAGGACAGCUCGAUAGCCAAUGAGAACGCACAACGCAAUACAGGCAGGUUUGUGAGCCAAUGAAAACCGAGAGUGGGCGGGCGCUCUGUUGUUGUGGUUGACGGUCCACUUCCUUCUCUUACGGCGUGAAAUCAAUAAACUGCAGCGGUGAAAACUGAAGUCGGAAGAGAGAAGAAAACCGAAGAGCCGACGGCUGAAGUAAGUGCUUUUAAAAAAGAUAGUUUUAUUCCGCAGGUCCAAAGACUCUCCAACGUCAGCCUCUCUGUAUUAAAGUAUAGAUAUAUUAAAGUAAAAUAGGUCAAAUCUGAGGUGAAUUGGUGCACCCGCUGCUGCUCACAAGACUGCGGCAUGUGAUAUCGAUUAGAGACCCACGGGACAACUAUAGGGCUCUUUUAGCCCCUGAUGGACUGCUAGAGAUGCAGGGAAAUCUGAAUUUAACAUUACUGGUUGUUACAUUUUGACUGAAGAGCUCGAUGUCGACUGUGUGAAGAUGUUUUAGAGGUUUGCUUUCACAUUUAGAGUGCAGGUUUUCUGUUGAUGUGAUGAACACAUAGGGAAGUAAACGUAAUGCUUGUUAUACUUAAACAGUGAGAACAACUUUCUAUAAAAUAAACAUUUGGAAAGAGAGGUUGCUGUUGAUUUGUGUAUUUUAAGGUUAUAAACACCACAAACAAACAUGUGAAAUUCAUGUAAAUGUCUAUAAAACCACAUGUGCUUAUUUAUUCAUUCAUAAACAACAUUUCACAGGUGAUAAAUGACAUUAUAUUAGAAUUACUACAUGUAAAAAGGUGGUUUAUAUGUCAUAUUACAUUACGGCAACAAACAAUUUUAUUUUAAAUAAUUGUUUAAUCUGCUGAUUAUUUCCUUGAUUCAUUGUUUAGUCUGAAAUGUCAGUUAAAAUAGUGAAAAAGGUCUUGGAGAUCUAAAGAUUUUCCCUGUUUACUGUCAUAUAUUACAAAGAAAAUCAGCAAAUAUUUACAUUUGAGAAGCUGAAAAGAGAAAUUCAUGUAUAGCCUCAUACCAUGAUGGGGUAUCUAUAAACUGUCUUGCUCUAAUUACGCUCUGUAUUGUGAUAGGAGAUUGCUUUGGACUAGAUUAAAAUGCUUUUGAACCUUGUUUUU